UUCUGUACUCACGAGAGACAGAGGAGGCAUCCUGUACACCCGUAUCCAAUCGUUCCCCAAAAUUGCGACGCAGCUCGCGACGGUCCUCGUCUCCGCCGUCGUGCCUGCGGUGAGCGUCGGUGUCGUGGUGACUGCGGCGACGGUGCCGGUCGUCGUCCCGUUCGCGCGAUCGGUGGUGCCCGUCGUCGUCGCGAGUGCGGCGUGACCAGCGCUCACGAUCCAUGGCAAGGAGGGUUAGGGUUUGACCAGCGCUCGUGACCAGUGCUCGAGGAUUCACCGUAGCAGAGGGCGCCGCGGUGGCCGCCAAGCCAACCCGCGGGUCGACAGGCGCGGGGCUCCAGCGGCAGCGGGCGAGACGAGGCAAACCCGAGCGGCGCUAAAGCGAGGAACCGGCGCAACGGGCACGACUACGUUGAGCACUUGCGCGUCGGCCAGAGCCAGCCCGCCGAUCUGAGCCAAGCCGGGCCACCCCUCGCGGAGCAGCCCGCCGCGCUGCCGUGGAAGGAGUUCGAGGUGCUCGGCAUCCACGUCUGCCGCGCCGAGCCCGUGUUCCCGCCGCGCCCAGGGUACGGCGCCGCGUUGAUACCGUGCGUCGUCGGGACCUGAAGUCCCUGCAACUGUUGCAGCCAUCAUGGACAACCAGUGGAUGAGAGCACCUAGGUGGUCAGUCGAGUAUGAUGAAGGCCUUCACAACUUUAUAGAAUUUUCCUUUGCCACAUCAGCCCAACAGAAUAGGAUACCUUGUCCUUGCCGUGAUUGUGGAAAUAAUUACUGGCUAGAGGCAAAAGAUGUUCGGGAACACUUAGUUUGCAUUGGGUUCAUGGAUGGAUAUUCAUCAUUGAUUCAUCAUGGUGAGGAGCAAUUGACAAGUGAGGACAAUAGACAUGUAUAUAGCUGGAUGUGGGCAUGUCAUUUUCAAGCAGGAGUAACAUAAUUUGGUUCCUGAACAUUGAUGGCCAGUACUGUGGCAACAUAGUAUAUUUAGAUGGAUUUAUACUUACAUAGGUAUAUAUAGCUGUGAUGUGGACACUCUUAUAAAAGGAGAAAGAAACUUGCAUCAGGAAUGGGGACCUAGACAUCAGGACUUGGAACAUCAUUUGAAUUGACUAUUUUUCAACCUUAUUGAUUGUGUUUGGUUACAAAUAUAACUGUGUAUAGCCUGAAAGGUUAAAUGUUUGGAUCAUGUUGUUAACGUGUAUUUUCAUUGGUUAAUUUCUCAA